UAGGGAAUCUUCCGCAAUGGACGCAAGUCUGACGGAGCAACGCCGCGUGAAUGAAGAAGGAUUUCGGUUCGUAAAACUCUGUUGUUAGAGAAGAACAGCGCAUAGAGUAACUGUUAUGCGUGUGACGGUAUCUAACCAGAAAGCCACGGCUAACUACGUGCCAGCAGCCGCGGUAAUACGUAGGUCCCGAGCGUUGUCCGGAUUUAUUGGGCGUAAAGCGAGCGCAGGCGGUUAGAUAAGUCUGAAGUUAAAGGCAGUGGCUCAACCAUUGUAGGCUUUUGAAACUGUUUAACUUGAGUGCAGAAGGGGAGAGUGGAAUUCCAUGUGUAGCGGUGAGAUGCGUAGAUAUAUGGAGGAACACCGGUGGCGAAAGCGGCUCUCUGGUCUGUAACUGACGCUGAGGCUCGAAAGCGUGGGGAGCGAACAGG
rnacentral:rRNA from 1 species